rnacentral:rRNA from 1 species
GAUGAACGCUGGCGGCGUGCCUAAUACAUGCAAGUCGAGCGAACAGACGAGGAGCUUGCUCCUCUGACGUUAGCGGCGGACGGGUGAGUAACACGUGGAUAACCUACCUAUAAGACUGGGAUAACUUCGGGAAACCGGAGCUAAUACCGGAUAACAUGUUGAACCGCAUGGUUCAACAGUGAAAGACGGUCUUGCUGUCACUUAUAGAUGGAUCCGCGCCGCAUUAGCUAGUUGGUAAGGUAACGGCUUACCAAGGCAACGAUGCGUAGCCGACCUGAGAGGGUGAUCGGCCACACUGGAACUGAGACACGGUCCAGACUCCUACGGGAGGCAGCAGUAGGGAAUCUUCCGCAAUGGGCGAAAGCCUGACGGAGCUACGCCGCGUGAGUGAAGAAGGUCUUCGGAUCGUAAAACUCUGUUAUUAGGGAAGAACAAAUGUGUAAGUAACUAUGCACGUCUUGACGGUACCUAAUCAGAAAGCCACGGCUAACUACGU